rnacentral:rRNA from 1 species
UACGUAGGGGGCUAGCGUUGUCCGGAAUCAUUGGGCGUAAAGAGCGCGUAGGCGGCCAGAUAAGUCCGGUGUGAAAGUCAAAGGCUCAACCUUUGAAUGCCGCUGGAAACUGUCUGGCUAGAGUCCGGGAGGGGCGAGUGGAAUUCCUGGUGUAGCGGUGAAAUGCGCAGAUAUCAGGAGGAACACCAAUGGCGAAGGCAGCUCGCUGGAACGGUACUGACGCUGAGGCGCGAAGGCGUGGGGAGCAAACAGG